GUGUGUGUUCAGGUUUGAGUUGUACCAGGUGCAGGCCUCAUGUCCCCACUGUGUGUGUUCAGGUUUGAGUUGUACCAGGUGCUGCUUCAUGUCCCCACUGUGUGUGUUCAGGUUUGAGUUGUACCAGGUGCUGGCCUCAUGUCCCUACUGUGUGUGUUCAGGUUUGAGUUGUACCAGGUGCUGGCCUCAUGUCCCCACUGUGUGUGUUCAGGUUUCAGUUGUACCAGGUGCUGGCCUCAUGUCCCCACUGUGUGUGUUCAGGUUUGAGUUGUACCAGGUGCUGGCCUCAUGUCCCCACUGUGUGUGUUCAGGUUUGAGUUGUACCAGGUGCUGGCCUCAUGUCCCCACUGUGUGUGUUCAGGUUUCAGUUGUACCAGGUGCUGCUUCAUGUCCCUACUGUGUG